AGUCAUCGUUCGCGUUUUAAUGUGAUGUUACAUAAUGUUACACACAACAACACUCCGGCAUGGAACAAAGUCUUAUUUAAACAGCACUGUGAGAUGUCAGAUCCGCAGUGCAGAGGUAGCGAAGAAGCUCAUGGUGAGCUCAUGCGGGGAAACCGAAAUAAAUUAGUUCAAACAAAACUGAAAAUUUAAUCUCACUAACAAUCACAAGUCCUGGAACUGGUUCCUCCUCAGACACAUGCGUCAUCUUCGAUAACUUUAAAACAAGACAUUUUCCAACAUGCCUAAAAGCCAGUGUAUCCCCUAAUAAAAGCUGGGUCGAGUGAGCUGGAGGACACCAGAACACUGCAUGUGACAUAAUGUAAGAUGAUAGCUGGACAGAAAACAUAUCCUCUAUGGGGGUACUUUACACAGCCAACACCAGAGAAAGCAAAGUGCAAUAUUUGGGCUACUGAUCAGAACGUCAUGAGUUCAAACCCCAGCACUGCCAAGCUGCCACUGUUGGGCCCGUGAGCAAGGCACUUAACUCUCAACUGCUCAGAUGUAUAAAUGAGAUGAACCCAUGUGUGACAAAAAACAUGCUGACAUGUGUCUGCGCUGUGUUCAUCUCAGCGGAACCAAAACGGUACACUAAUUCCCACCGGAUCCUCUUAUGAUGACUGCAAGCAGAUGUUCCAGCGUACUAGGUGAUCCAUUAGCAAUUAUAAAGAACAGAGAGGAAGAACCUGAAGCACUAAAUGAAUACAUUAGUGUUCAGUGUUCCAGAAAAUAAAACAGGUAUUCUCACUCA